AGAGACCCCAUUCAGACCCCAUAGAGACCCCAUAAAGACCCCAUAGAGACCCCAUAGAGAUCCCAUAGAGACCCCAUACAGACCCCAUAGAGACCCAUAGAGACCCCAUAGAGACCCCAUAGAGACUCAGUAGUGACCCCAUAGGUGUCCCAUAGAGACCCCAUUCAGGUCCCAUAGAGACCCCAUACAAACCCCAUAGGUGUCCCAUAGAGACCCCAUAGGGACUCCAUAGAGACCCAAUAGUGACCCCAUAGGUGUCCCAUAAAGACCCCAUAGAGACCCCAUAGGUGUCCCAUAGGUGUCCCAUAGAGACCCCAUAGGUGUCCCAUAGGUGUCCCAUAGAGACCCCAUUCAGGUCCCAUAGGUGUCCUAUAGGUGUCCCAUAAAGACCCCACAAAGACCCCAUAGGUGUCCCAUAGGUGU